rnacentral:rRNA from 1 species
GACAAACGCUGGCGGUAUGCCUAACACAUGCAAGUCGAACGGACAGAACAGGGAAGCUUUUCGGAGUGGAACUGGAAAGUUAGUGGCGGAUGGGUGAGUAACGCGUGGACAACCUACCUUGUAAAGGGGAAUAACCUCGAGAAAUCGAAGCUAAUACCCCAUAAUAACCUUGCUUCGCAUGAAGUAAGGAGGAAAGGCGGCCUUAGCGCUGUCGAUACAAGAUGGGUCCGCGUCUGAUUAGCUAGUUGGUGAGGUAAAGGCUCACCAAGGCGACGAUCAGUAGCCGGCCUGAGAGGGUGAACGGCCACAUUGGGACUGAGACACGGCCCAAACUCCUACGGGAGGCAGCAGUGGGGAAUCUUCCGCAAUGGGCGAAAGCCUGACGGAGCAAUGCCGCGUGAGUGAAGAAGGCCUUCGGGUUGUAAAACUCUGUCCUUAUCGAAGAGAGAGUGUUGUAGUAACUGACAAUGCUAGGACGGUAGAUGAGGAGGAAGCCCCGGCUAACUAUGUG